rnacentral:pre_miRNA from 1 species
GACUACAAGCAACUAUAGUUUUAUCUUUUUGUUAUCUAGUAUUUUUGAAUAUUAAAAAAACUAGGUGACGAGAAGAUAAUAUUCAAAAAUACUAGAUAACAACGAGAUAAAAUUAGGGUUGUUUGUAAUC